GCGGGUAUGGUGUAACGGUAGCGCCCUAGCCUUCCAAGCUAGUCGUGCGGGUUCGAUUCCCGCUACCCGCU
rnacentral:tRNA from 2 species